rnacentral:rRNA from 1 species
UCGCAUUCAGUUGCCAUCGGGUAAUGCCGGGCGACUCUGGAAGGACUGCCAUCGACAAGAUGGAGGAAGGUGGGGAGUGACGUCAAGUCAUCAUGGCCCUUACUGUCCAGGGCGACACACGUGCUACAAUGGCCGGCACAACGGGAAGCGAGUUCGCGAGGACGAGCGGAUCCCUUAAAGCCGGUCGCAGUUCGGAUUGAAGUCUGCAACCCGACUUCAUGAAGCUGGAAUCGCUAGUAAUCGUGGAUCAGCCAAGCCGCGGUGAAUACGUUCCCGGGCCUU